GACGAACGCUGGCGGCGUGCUUAACACAUGCAAGUCGAACGAAGUGGCGAACGGGUGAGUAACGCGUAAUCAACCUGCCCUUCCGAGGGGGACAACAGUUGGAAACGACUGCUAAUACCGCAUACUGAAGGAGGGGAUUGCGUCUGAUUAGCUAGUUGGAGGGGGAACGGCCCAACAAGGCGAUGAUCAGGAGCCGGUCUGGGAGGAUGAAGGGCUACAUUGGGACUGAGACACGGCCCAGACCUCGACGGGAGGCAGCAGUGGGGAAUCUUCCGCAAUGGACGCAAGGCUGACGGAGCAACUCCGCGGGAGUGAUGACGACCUUCGGGUUGGAAAGCUCUGUUAAUCGGGACGCGGUACCGGAAGAGAAAGCCACGGCUAACUACGUGCCAGCAGCCGCGGUAAUAC
rnacentral:rRNA from 1 species